CAACCUGCCCCAGAGCGGGGACAACAGUCCGAAAGGGCUGCUAAUACCGCAUGUGGAGAACGAAAGGCAUCUUUUGUUCUCCAAAGCAGCAAUGCACUCUGGGAUGGGCCCGCGGCCUAUCAGCUAGUUGGUGUGGUAACGGCUCACCAAGGCUUCGACGGGUAGCUGGUCUGAGAGGACGAUCAGCCGGAUUGGGACUGAGAUACGGCCCAG
rnacentral:rRNA from 1 species